CACGGGGGGAGCAAGCGUUGUUCGGAUUCAUUGGGCGUAAAGGGUGCGUAGGCGGCGGGGUAAGUCAGGUGUGAAAUCCCGGGGCUCAACCCCGGAACUGCCUUCGAUACUGAGGAUCUUGAGUCCGGGAGAGGUGAGUGGAACUGCGAGUGUAGAGGUGAAAUUCGUAGAUAUUCGCAAGAACACCAGUGGCGAAGGCGGCUCACUGGCCCGGUACUGACGCUGAGGUGCGAAAGCGUGGGGAGCAAACAGG
rnacentral:rRNA from 1 species